UACGGGGGGGGCAAGCGUUGUUCGGAAUUACUGGGCGUAAAGGGCUCGUAGGCGGCCAACUAAGUCGGACGUGAAAUCCCUCGGCUUAACCGGGGAACUGCGUCUGAUACUGGAUGGCUUGAGUUUGGGAGAGGGAUGCGGAAUUCCAGGUGUAGCGGUGAAAUGCGUAGAUAUCUGGAGGAACACCGGUGGCGAAGGCGGCAUCCUGGACCAACACUGACGCUGAGGAGCGAAAGCCAGGGGAGCAAACGGG
rnacentral:rRNA from 1 species